rnacentral:rRNA from 1 species
CACGUAGGGCGCAAGCGUUGUCCGGAAUUAUUGGGCGUAAAGAGCUCGUAGGCGGUCUGUUACGUCUGCUGUGAAAACCCGGGGCUUAACCCUGGGCUUGCAGUGGAUACGGGCAGACUAGAGGCAGGUAGGGGAGAAUGGAAUUCCCGGUGUAGCGGUGAAAUGCGCAGAUAUCAGGAGGAACACCGGUGGCGAAGGCGGAUCUCUGGGCCGUAACUGACGCUGAGGAGCGAAAGCAUGGGGAGCGAACAGG